UGAAAAGCAAUGAUGGGGAGAGUAGCGCAUCGCAGGUCUAAAGAGAGGAAAAGUCGAGGGCUGAAAGCUUUUCUAGACAUCGGAUGCGUGAAAGACCACCCCUGAGCUGCAGGCUGAAGUAUGUAGUAAGCUGCGCCGGUGAUGCCGUUAUAAUCUUUGAGUACCAAUUAGGGUGGAACCACGGGCCCUCUCGUCCCUUUG
rnacentral:ncRNA from 1 species